GCGAGUCCGUUAGCCUUGUAGAAUGC
rnacentral:sRNA from 1 species